AGGAAGUAGAUUCCACGAUACCUGCCUGGAGAUGGAGGAAGGCUUGAAAGAAGAACAACUGCAAGGCACCUCACUCUUCACGUCCUCGGCUUCUGGUCGUCUGUAACUUACGGGGUCGUCAUGGAAGCAGACGGCAGCAAUCCUCCCGUGCUGAAAUUUCCACCCCUUACUAAAUGUCAGGAGACGAAAAACUAUGCUGAUCCCGAAGUUCUGUGCCACACCUUUGAGACGCUGUCUAAUCUUCACAAGCUACUUCCAAAUCACUUGAUGAAGUGGCUUUCUUCCUACAGGAGCAAAGAGGACAAAAAAAUAAAUGAGAAUUCUGAACUCUCCAGCUUGGAAAAGAUGUUGGAAAGACAUGACUUACCAAAGGAGAUUAGUCUGACCCCAAAGCCAAACAGAAUGCCCCCAUGGAAAAGAAAAACCAUCAACAAUGUCAGUGAUGGCUGGAAGAAGUGUCCCUUGUGGAGGAGAACCACUAAGGAGCCACCCAUGUCCACUGUUGUUGUCAGAUGGGUGAAAAAGAACAUGGAACCGUCCGAGGACCUCGAGUCAGUGACCCGAAGGUUGUCCGCAUUUGGCCCAAUUCAGUCAGUCGCCGUUUGUGGACGCCAAACUGCCAUCGUGGUGUUCAAAGACAUAACCUCAGCUUGUCACGCUGUGAGCGCAUUUCACAGCAAGGAGCGAGGCGCGGCGCUCCAGUGCUCCUGGCAACAGCAAUUCAUGGCUAAAGACCAAGCUUAUUCAAGAAAAUGCUCUAAGAAGACACAAUCUAAAGAAAAUAGGAAAGAAACUGGAAAGAAACACCGGCCAUAGUUAAGGGGCCACAAGCAGCACAUAUAUGUACAGAAGAGGCAGAGACAGAGAACAGGACGAGUGGCAGUGUCUCAUGCCAGGAGCCCCUUUCCCCAGCCCUCCAGCUCCUGAGACUCCUGGAAACACACAUGCUAACUCAGUGUCAGAUGAAGUCACAGUGCCUUUUGGAUAUGUGAAAGCCACCCGAAGUUCACAAGUUCUACAUAAGAGAUAGCACAAUAAUAGAAUGAUGCUGAGACCCUAUAGUUUCAGACUGAAAUGAAUAGAGAAAAGUACAUUAGGACCAGCUCCCAGGAGAGGUGC